rnacentral:lncRNA from 1 species
CAGUAUGACAUCCUUCCAGGUUCUCUUACCGACUCGUGCUGCUGAGCUGUGUGACGUCCUCAGUGCAGACGUUGCGUCAGCAGCCCGGAGCUGAGUGUAGAUCAGCCGGCAGUUAAACCCACUGUCCUUCCAUAUGUAGGAAAAGGAGUUUCUGCGUAUACCUGCAGCUGCUCAUCCUCCAUCAGUUCUGAAAAGUGCGCUCAAACCUGGCUGUCAUGUUGGGAAUGGUUGAGGAAAGUAAACAGGGUCUUGCUAUUCCAUGACAUCACAGGCUUCCUCUUCUCCCCUCCCUCCAAGCAUCUGGUAAAAGAUCGGACUAGAAAAGCAGGUUGUCUUCCAGGAAGGAACUUGAACCUCGAUCGAGCGUCAGUGUGAGCCGAAGAAAGAGAGAGAGAGGCCAGAGGCCUCCUCUUCAGCCUGGCUUGGCAGGACGCCAGUGUCAAUUCUACGCUUCUCAGAAACACAUUCUUUGGUGCUUCAGCCUGUUUCUGCUAGAUUAAGAUACUGAACAUGGGAAUUAACACGAGACGCCAAACAGCAGAGCAAGUGAGAGAGCCAGGGGAGCGGUACAGUGCUUAAAAAAUAACCUCUUUUCCACAUUGUUUUACAGCAUUUACACCCUUAAAUCUAAUCCCAGGUAGCAAAGAACAUUGAAGAAAUUAUUGUUGUAUUACACCUUUUAAUGUUGAUAUUGAAAAAAAACAACAACACCUAUACAACCUUUAUUUAUAAUGGACUCGCCAGUUUCAGUAAAUAUUACAAUUCAGACAUUGAAUCAAUGUUCAUAUAACAGGAUAGGGGAUUUGUG